rnacentral:tRNA from 1 species
AAGGCCUGUAAAACUUUAAUAUACAUCUCCUAAAUGCAACUCAGGUGCUUUAAUUAAGCGAACGCCUC